rnacentral:rRNA from 1 species
CUUGCAACCAAUAAGAGGUCCAGCCUGCCCAGUGACUCUGUUCAACGGCCGCGGUAUCCUAACCGUGCAAAGGUAGCGCAAUCAUUUGUCCUUUAAAUAAGGACUAGUAUGAACGGCACCACGAAAGCUAUACUGUCUCCUUCCCCUAAUCAGUGAAACUAAUCUUCCCGUGAAGAAGCGGGGAUAAUUUUAUAAGACGAGAAGACCCUAUGGAGCUUUAAACACACAACAACUGUCACGGACCAACCCUCUUCCCCGGAAAGAACAACCCACCCGAACAUUUUGAUUGCAAGUUUUAGGUUGGGGUGACCGCGGAGCAAAAAAUAACCUCCACAGUGAAUGGGAUUUUUCCCUUAAACCCAGGGCCACAGCCCCAAGGAUCAAUAAAUUGACACCCAUUGACCCAAUACUUUUGACCAACGAAC